UGUCAAAAACAUGGGGUGACUGUAGCUGU
rnacentral:sRNA from 1 species